UACGGAGGGAGCUAGCGUUGUUCGGAAUUACUGGGCGUAAAGCGCACGUAGGCGGCUUUGUAAGUUAGAGGUGAAAGCCCAGGGCUCAACUCUGGAAUUGCCUUUAAGACUGCAUCGCUUGAACAUCGGAGAGGUAAGUGGAAUUCCGAGUGUAGAGGUGAAAUUCGUAGAUAUUCGGAAGAACACCAGUGGCGAAGGCGACUUACUGGACGAUUGUUGACGCUGAGGUGCGAAAGCGUGGGGAGCAAACAGG
rnacentral:rRNA from 1 species